rnacentral:lncRNA from 1 species
GUUUACUUAAAAUGAUAAUGGAAUGUAAUAAGGAUGGCAAUUUGUAGUAACUUUUGGUAAACUCAGUAACUUGUAUAGUAAAGGUCAACAUUUCUUGUUUAGGCUUCAUGAAUAAACAAAGCUAUUCCAGUUGAGUACUUUACAAAUUAAUCUUUUAUUUAUAUAUUUUCCUGAUUUACCUAACUGGUACCAUUAUAAUCUAUGUUACAUGGAAACGGAAGCGGGUGCGUGGAAGCGGAAGCGUAUGGAAACAUAGAAGCGAAUUUUUUAAAAAAAUUAGGAAGCGGAUACGUGUUGGAAACGUAUAUAUAUAUAUACAUAUAUAAGAAGUUUUUUAAAAUA